CAAAAAAAAAAAAAAAAAAAAAAAAGUCUAUCAGCAGGGACCUCAACAGCUGUACAAUGGAAUAAUGGAAUAGCAGGCAACUACCAAGAAUGAGUUAGCUCCACACAUAUUGAUGAUAAUUUCAGGGUGGUAUUCACAGUGUACCCUUAUUUUUUGUAAAAGUAGAAAAAUAACUCUUUACAUUUGCUUUUGCCUAUCUGAAUGUAGAGAAACAUAUGGAAGAAAUGCUUGAUUGACCCAGUGAGCGAGAUUGGAGGAAGGAGAGGAAGGGUGAUUUUCUUUAUAACUCUAUUGUUUGACUCCUCACAAAAAGCUUUAUUGCUUCUGUAAAACCAAUUAGGCAAAAUCAAGUAAAUGGUUGCUGGAUGAGUAAAUAGUAAACUUCAGGAAAGAAGUUUUCAGAAAAGGAGGAACACUGUUUCUGUUUCCUCUGAAGAAAACCAAAAUUGGCAGAACAUAUAAUUACAGUAUUAUUAUUCACUUUGCAAAGGAAUUUUCUCUCCCCUAAAAGGAUCUUCGUGGGCUUCUUUUUAAAAGGCAACUCCAGUAAAGCUCUGACGCAUUUCAUCCUCUUCGUCAUGACAUUAACUGCAGUACUUGACAGAGGGUGGGGCUGAGAAAGAGAAAGUUUUAAGAGUCGGUGCCAAUUGAAGAUCAAUCUGCAAUGAGAUAAGCUCCAUUGAUAUUAUAAUGUAAUUAUGGGGGAAAUUAUUACAUUGAAAAAAUUCAAAGUUCACCUAGCUUUUCUGGAGGAGAGGCACCAGAGGAGCCCACUGGGAGGAGAAGGGAAGGUGUCCUGCUUCCCAGGGCUGGGGACCACAGGCAAGGCCAUGGGCUUGAGGGCACUUCUCCAAACUCUAGCAGAUAAAUUAUGCCCAAAUCCCACAUCUUACUGAGAAAGCAGGUGUCUGCAAUUAGUCACAGAAGGGAGGUGGGUGGUCGUGGGCAGAGAAGAAAAAAUUUUUUAAUAAAAAAAUAAAAAUUAGGCAAAAUAGAACUUGACAGUCACCAUGCAAACAGAAGAAACACUACGAAAGUGACAUCAUUAGCAUGGCUGUGGGCCUGUCUUAUCCUUUGGUCUCUAAAGCAGGAGACAAUGAGAGCUACUUACUGACUCAUUUUUAGUAUUUGAUAAAAGAAAAAAAGUCAAUCAAUCAGGCUUACCUUAUUGACUUACUAAUGUCCUUGUCACUAAGGGAUAAUUUUAAAAAGGAUUUUUCUAUCAAAAGAAGAGAAAUCAAUUCAUAGACCUCUUUGGGCUCCAACCCACAAUUCGUAUAGGAUAAAAUCAAGUUUAAAAUAGAGAGUGCACCCAUAAGGUUGAGAAGACAUCUUGUGGUGACUCCUUUGCAUAACAUGAAACAAGGUUGGUUGGCCUUUCUCUGUAAAGAGCAAGAUAGUAAAUAUUUCAGGCUUUCUGGGCCAAGAAAUACAAUCAAGGAUAUUAUGUAGUUACUUGUAUAACAAGAGCAAAACCAUUUUUCCCCACAACUUUUAAAAUAGAUCAAUUUCAAAAUUUUAUGACCAGUACAGUUUGCAUUUUAUAUUGUUUUCAUGUGUCAUGAAAUAAUAUUCUCAUUAAAUUUUCCUGCAAGCAUUUGAAAAUGGAAAAAGCAUUCUUAGCUUGUGGGUCACAUAAAAACAGGUUGUGGCCUGGAUUUGGCCCUGGGGCCAUCAUUUGCUGACCCCCAACAUAGAACACUUCUGAGUCAUGUCAGGGUCCUUAAUCAGUUAGGUCAUCCAAGCUCAGAUUGAACUGGGACAUGGUUUCAGAAUCCUUCUCAACACUGCAUGCCUGCCAUAAUGUGGGUAGGGAGAGGCUGUUGGCUCUGCAGUAGCCACCUGAUGGCUGCUUAAAGGACCGUGAACUCAGUUAUCACCAGCAUUUUCCCUACUCUUUCAGAUCUGGGUGCAGUUGGCUCAGUCCUCCAUCCCCAGCCUCGGGAAAGUCUCUCUCCCAGAUUUCCGCUCCUCCUCAACAAGCUUGCAUGUUGUGCCAAGGAGCAAUCGCUUCUGCUGCUACGAAUUCACUUGCCCUUGUGAAUUCACGUGCCCUUCAUCCUUGCCUCAUCCAGAACAGAGAAUACAAUUAUUUUAAUAUUUUAUGUAUUUUUUAUAAGCCUACAGAGUUUUAAUGGAAGUUUGGAGAGACAAUGGCAGUUUACACAGCAGAAGUAACAGCAUCUGCUCAGUGUCAUUGUUUAAGUCAUCAUCAUAGCUAACACUUCCAGGAAAUUUAUUUCUUUUGCCAGGAGGUUUUCACAUGUUAUUUAAUCCUGCAAUAAUCAGUAGAAAUAGGCUUUUUCUUUUUAACAGUUAUUAUCCUGUUUUACAAAAAAGAAAUGAAGCUUAAGAGAUUGAGCAGCUUGCUAAUCACAGAGCAAGUUAAUGAUAGAGAUGAAUUUUGAACAGUCAAGUCAGGCAGUGACUUAUGCCUGUAAUCCCAGCACUUUGGGAGGCCAAGGCAGGCGGAUCAUUUGAAGUCAGGAGUUCAAGACCAGCCUGGUUAACGUAGUGAAACUCCGUAUGUCUUAAAAAUACAAAAAUUAGUCGGGCAUGGUGGCAAACGCCUAUAGUCAUAGCUACUAGCUAGGCUGAGGUGGGAGGAUCGCUCAAACCUGGGAGGUGUAGGUUGCAGUGAGCUGAGAUUGCUUCAUCUCACUCUAGCCUGGGCGGUAGAGUGAGAUUCCAUCUCAAACAAACAAACAAAAACCACAAUCAAUGACCCAGAAUGCAAUCAAUGACCCAGAGCCCAUGCACCUAAACACAACACAGUUAUCCCUCUACAGCACUUUAAGUGAACAUCAGACUUUGUUGUUGUUGUUGUUGUUGUUGUUGAAAGUUCUUCUAUCACCUCCCUGGGAAUUCUCACUGGCCUGACCACCUCAUAAAAUGUCCUGGCUUCUACCCACGCUCCUGGCUCCUCUCCUUGCCCAUGUCUUUCUCACCUCUUCUCCCAGAUUGUUUUCAUGAACUCUUAAUACCUUGAUCCAAUUCUUUAGAGUAAUUUAGCUCUUGCUAGCUCAUGUUCCCAAACUGAGCUCUAGCAGAAGCCUUCUGAGGGACAUAAUGUCAUUUUACAGGAAGAAACUAUUGAUUGGCCAAUUGCAUGUGGAAAACUAGGAGAAGGCCCAUAAGGAGAAGGUGGAAGAAAUGAAGCACACUAGAAAAUCAGAAAAUUGCGGGAUGUUUUUCUUUCUGAGAGAGAAGAGGGACAGUAAACAAGUGAGAGUGCAUGAAGGCAGAGAAGAUGUAAGACUUUUUAAAAAAAAGAGGUUGCUUUGCCCCAAACUAUUUAGUCAGGUCUUCUACACACAAAAAUGCCUUGUGAGAAAAUGGAGAAUGUGGGAAAUCAAGAAAUGAAGAAUUCGCUGGAGAUAAAUGGUGGGAAAUGAAUGUAAGCUCCCUGAGCAUUUAAAGAAGUUCUGUAAACUUUCCAUAUUGGAUUUUUGACACUGGACUUUCUACAGGGUACAUUAUUGUUAUCUAAAUCUUUGGAAACAGGGUGAAUCUACAUGAUAGAGUGGAAGCCACAAAGGAAGAAGAAGAAGAGAUUCUAUCUGGGUAUGGAGAAUGAAAAAAAAAAAAGGUGUAAAGAGGGUGAGUGUACAGUCAUCUGGAAGCCAUGUCACAGAGAGGAGGGGAGAGAUUAAAAGGGAUCUGAAUAAGAGCAGGAUGGUGGGGCUUGAAAGGAUGGGAUGAACAUGAGAGACGUGAUGACACUGGUCAACAGAGAUCUCUCUAGGGAUGUCAACCAGAAAGGGAUGUAAUGUAGGAAAUUAGGUGUUUUUACACUUCUUUAGGAGGGCAAGAGAAACGGGCUCUGGGCUGAACUCCAGGAAUGAACAACAUUGCAGAAUGGCCCUCCUGGGAAUUGCACCCCUGACUCAACAGUAGUAGGGUAUCAGGAGACCACUUUUAGCACAAUAGAUUUCUGAAAGAACCCACCCUAGCUGAGGCAGGUACUGCGGUCACUGCAAGUACUAGCUGGAGAGCUAUGCUAGGCUGCUCCAUGUGCAACAGCAAAAUGUGUAGAGCCCAGCCCCUGCCUUGCAGCCCCCAUUGCAGCAGUGACUGGACACAGGAGCACCAUUGUGCUUGACAGCAGAAACCAGCAGAGAAAGAUCUCUUCCGCUUCAUCCUGCCCUUCAGAUUCCACACGAGUGCUUCUUAUGGGGGAUCUUAAUUCCAUUAAGAACCCGGUCUGGCUCUGUCAUCCAGGCUGGAGUGCAGUGACUCAAUCAUGGCUCACUGCAGCCUUAACUUCCGGACCUCAGGUGAUUCUCCCACCUCAGCCUGUCAAGUAGCUGGGACUACAGGUACACACCAUCAUUCACAGCUAAUUAUUUUGUUUUUUUUUUUUUUUAAAUAAAGACAGGGUUUCACCAUGUUGCCCAGGCUGGUCUCGAACUCAAGAACUGAGCUCAAGCAAUCUGCCUGCCUCCAUCUCCCAGACUGCUGGGACUACAGGUGCAAGCCACUGCACCCGGCUACUUUUUAAUUUUUCAAAAUACUGCAUUAAGAGUAUUUAUCUUGGCUGGGCGCGGUGGCUCACGCCUGUAAUCCCAG
rnacentral:lncRNA from 1 species